rnacentral:tRNA from 1 species
CGGGGCGUAGAUCUGUCUGGCAGAUCGCCUGCUUUGGGAGCAGGAGGCCGCCGGUUCGAAUCCGGCCGCCCCGACCA